GUGAAGCAAAAUCAUAUGUCAACUAUUUGCCUAAUUUGGUGAUCCGCCAUUUUUUAUGUUUAUGUUUUUGUACUUGGCGUUGGCGGUAUAGUCGAUUUUGGAAUAAACGAGUGAAUUUGCGAAAAGACCUGCGACGUGCUCAUAUUUUGUUAUUCUUUGGCGUCGUGAGAGUGAUAUUUUGCAUGCCAUGUCAACACUUUCAGAUUCUUUACUGUGUUUUCAGCAUUGCAGUAAAAUUAAUGUGUUCUGUUUUACCAUACCCAACAACUGUCCAGCAUGUGAAAAUGAGUUGUCUAAUACAGAUUUGACCAUACCACCUUUUCGGUAAAGUGAAUUCUUUGUUUCCUUAAAGUUCCAAGUCCUCUAACAUCAGAAGCUAAAAAUUGCAGUCUUUUGAUAAAGCCAACAUUUGGAAAUUUCAUCAGAGAUUUCAAAAGAGGUGAUGUGCUGCAUAUUGCUCUUUCUAAUUCAGAGAGCAAAAUAUUUGAAUUCAAUGAAAAUGGAAUAAGCUCCUCUAGUUUUGGUUCCUAUUUGAACUGGACAAAUUUUCUUUCUGUCAGCCUUGCCACAUUACCUUACACAUUUUCGGAAUUAGAUAAAGUUUUGGAAAAUACCAUUACAAUGGAUACUUGGGCGGCAGAAAGAUAUGAUGAAGUUAACAACAAUUGUUUCGACUACGUGAUAUCUGUGUUAAAUGCGGCCAAUAACAAUUCCAAUUUGACAAAAAUUCAAUUAACACAAGAGAUCAUCUCCCCAGCUAUCAACAGAACCAUCCGCUUACUUUCUAUCAUUAGAAAUGUAUCGCAAAACGGUUUCUUUCUCCAAGGUAACCAUUUUGAAGAGCCUUAAAUAACCAGUUGAUGUCUAUUGCCACGGUAUUUGAUGUAUAUUGAAUAAACGAAUUCUGAUUUUUUUUUUCAA